rnacentral:rRNA from 1 species
UACGGAGGGUGCAAGCGUUAUCCGGAUUCACUGGGUUUAAAGGGUGCGUAGGUGGGCAAGUAAGUCAGUGGUGAAAUCUCCGGGCUUAACCCGGAAACUGCCAUUGAUACUAUUUGUCUUGAAUACUGUGGAGGUCAGCGGAAUAUGUCAUGUAGCGGUGAAAUGCCUAGAUAUGACAUAGAACACCAAUUGCGAAGGCAGCUGGCUAAACAAAUAUUGACACUGAGGCACGAAAGCGUGGGGAUCAAACAGG